CCUGUUCUUGGUUACUUGGCUC
rnacentral:miRNA from 1 species